GUGUCAGCAGCCGCGGUAAUACGUAGGAUGCGAGCAUUAAUCGGAAUUACUGGGCGUAAAGUGUGCGCAGAUGGCCGCGCAAGUCGAAUAUGAAAGCCCCGGGCUUAACUUGGGAAUUGCGCUCGAAACUACAUGGCUAGAAUAUGGCAGAGGAAGGUGGAAUUCCACAUGUAACGAUGAAAUACGUAGAGAUAUGGAGGAACACCAAUGGCGAAGACAGCCUUCUGGGCCAACACUGACGCUCAUGCACGAAAGCAUGGGGAGCAAACAGGAUUAGAUACCCGGGUAGUCC
rnacentral:rRNA from 1 species